GCAGCGAGAGGUGUGAGCAGUCAGAAAGAGAAACAGAGACUACUGAAAAGCCUAAAGAUGACAGCCUGUACAGGAGUGCAGGAGUCUUUUUAACAGUCCGCAGAGAUAACUUCAUAGACCAGAACACAGUCCAGCGCUGCCAUCAAGAGUCUGUAGAGGAUGAC